AUGGCUCUGAGGCUGUGGGCAAGCUCAGCUGCCAAUGCCCUCAAGAUUUCAAGCAGCGGCGCCAGGGCCGCUGCCCCGGCCUACUCGAUCUCCAGAUACUUCUCCACCGUUAUUGAUGGCUUGAAGUACACUUCCUCCCACGAGUGGGUCAAGAACGACGGCUCCGUGGCCACGAUUGGCAUCAGUGACCACGCCCAGGGCCAUCUCGGGGAGGUGGUGUUCGUGGAGCUGCCGGAGACCGGCACGAAGGUGAGCCAGGGUGGGGCCUUCGGCAACGUGGAGAGUGUGAAGGCCACCAGCGACGUCAACUCGCCCAUCUCCGGCGAGGUCGUCGAGGUCAAUUCGAAGCUGUCCGAGACCCCGGGCCUGGUACGUACAGCAAACACCUCGCCUCGUCGAUUACAAAUCCUCCUAACUAACAGAUGGACUGUGUUGUUGCGACUGCGCCGUGGUUGGCAGAUCAACUCGAGCCCGUACGAGGAGGGGUGGAUGAUCAAGGUGAAGCCGAGCAGCCCGGCGGAGCUGGAGGGCCUGCUGGACUCGGCCAAGUACACCAAGCACUGCGAGGAGGAGGACGCCCACUAG
rnacentral:rRNA from 1 species